rfam:Mus musculus chromosome 6, GRC primary reference assembly.
ACAUGUAUGGGGUACAUCUGGCUAUGACAUCCAUCACCCCUCAGUUGCCAGAGAUGAUUGGGCCAAUGUGUCUAGCUGAGCAGGCAUCUCUUCCUCCUAUACUGUUCCUUGUGUAUUUCUCCCAAAGUUUCACAAUAGGUCAUAAAGGAUGGGCAUCCCAAAUACAGGACACAUCUCUAGACAAAGGUAAAGAAGAACUACUCUCCCCUGCUAGAAUCCCCAAAUACCCUCUCAAAGACUUAAAACUCAAAGUGCUUCUAGUGAUACUCUUAUGGCCUACAAAGCUACAAUUAGGAAGAAGUUAAAACUUACUUUUUUAAAAAUUAGAUAUUUUCUUUUUUU